UUGCCCCAAUUAGGGCCUCUCUCCAGCGCGGCCGGCUCGAGCCGUCUGAAGGGUCUCCUCGGGGACCCGCGGAACCCAUCAGCGGCUAGAGCUGCUCUUUAAGUAAAGGGCAAGCAGGACGCGGGAGGAGCCAGGACUCACAAAACCCCAUAGAGCUGGGGAGGAUGAACUGAGACGACCCAGGUGAAGCACACCCUCUGGACACAGAAAUGACAGCAGUGUUUGUGCACGUCGGCUGAAUGUUAGUUGCACACAGGAACCUGUGCCUUAUAGACUCAAACUUGCUGAAUCUUUGCAACAAGCCUGUGAGGACGUGGGUGCAGUGGACUUGAAAAGCAAUGACCGAUGCUCGCAGGCAGACCUGGCAUUGGGAGCGGCGAGAAAACGCCACCUCCAUUCUGCAGGAGACCAGAAGGCCGUGGGUGGAACAUCUGGGCACAUCUCAGAUUUGUGGCUACCUGUAGGAUCAUCUUGGCCCGGAAACCACUGGAAUCUGUCCUUGCCCUGCUGGGAGAGCUAGCUUCCCGCUCCCAGCACUUAUCACACCUUAUUUCGUAUGUGUGUCUCUGGGCCUGCCUCUCCCACAGGGGCAGAGCCUGGAUGGCUUCCCUUGCACCAUCCCAAGGCCCAGGACACGGUGGGACCCAAAUGGUGCUUGAACCUGGGAGCCCAAACUGUAUCCAAAACGUCACUGUUCCCUCCAAGUUCCAGAAUUGCCCAGCCUCUCCUGCCGGCUUCCACGGCUCAGUCUUUCAGUCUUCCAUUCUUCCCAAGUGCCAGCAAUCAAGGUCAAACUCUUGCACAUGCCCCCGGCUUCUCUCGACCCCGGAACCUGACUUCCCUUCUCACCGGCGCCUUUGCCCUUUUCCUCCUCCCUCUAAACUGCGCAUGCGCCUCUGGCGUCCCUCCCAGGACCCAUUUACCUUCGUGGGCUGGCCCAUCCUUCCUCUUUUAGAGGCUACGUGUGCUGUGUGUUUGGCCUCUGGCUCGCUGGGGACCAGAAAAACAAAAUUUAUCACUGACUGCCCUAUUUUUUUUUUUCUUUCCUUUUUUGUUUUUUUGCCUAAGAAUGAAGCAAGCACUUUUCUGCUAUAGUCAGAAAGAGCUUCAAACAUGGCAGGCCACCGGCAAAAGUGUAUCUUCCUUCUCAGAGGGAAGGAAUGUAACCGUUAACAAUAAAAAAAUCCCUGGGAUUUAUGGAAGCCUGGGGCCUAUGAGCCAUUUCACAUCCGUUAGUUCCUGUGAUACAGCAAUCCAGGGGGCAGAGCAAGAAUCAUCAUCUCCAUUUGAGAGACAGGGAAACUGAGGCUCAAGGCACAGGCUCCCAGCUGCUGGGGCUGGUGCAAAUUCCUUCCAUUUUGUAUGUGUAAACUGGGCUAAUUUGUUCAAUGUAAACAUUAAAAAUCUACGCGUGU